AGAGGGGCAGCUGCCGACAGCCAGGUGCACACGCUGCAGGAGGAGCUGGACGAGCUGAAGGGAGGGGGCUCCCUGCCUUAGCAGCCUGCUGCCCCCCGCCGAGCGCCAGUUGCAGAGCUCCAGCCAGCAGCAGAAGCAGAGCAGUGGGCAGUGGUGGAGGUAGAGCUGGCUCCAGCUUCCUUGACACCACCCUCUCUAGCACUGGAGCCAGUGUCCCCUCCACCAGCAGUGUUGGAGCUGGAGCAAGGGCCGACAUCGGCUGCAGCAGGAGUGGGAGCUGCUGAGCUGGAGUCACCUGGACCAUCAUUUCUAGUGGGAAGUCCAUCUCCACCUGUGGCUAAGAAGCAUGAGAAGAAGCCCAACCUACGGCCUUCCCUCCUAAGCUGGUGGUGGAGCAGUUGACCGUGAUGGAUGCGGAGUGUGAGAUCCUGAAGAACUUCUCCUCGCCCCGCACUGUCAUCUCUUCUCUGCAGAAAACAUCCAUAUGCCACCUGAAGAACACAUGGAGGAAGUUUCCUGGUGGGUAGUGCCCCUCUCCA